GUGUCAGCAGCCGCGGUAAUACGUAGGGGGCGAGCGUUGUCCGGAAUCAUUGGGCGUAAAGAGCGUGUAGGCGGCUUGGCAAGUCUGACGUGAAAGCCCGCGGCUCAACCGCGGAUUGUCGUUGGAAACUGCCUCGCUAGAGUCCGGAAGAGGAGAGCGGAAUUCCUGGUGUAGCGGUGGAAUGCGCAGAUAUCAGGAAGAACACCCGUGGCGAAGGCGGCUCUCUGGGACGGUACUGACGCUGAGACGCGAAAGCGUGGGGAGCGAACAGGAUUAGAAACCCUCGUAGUCC
rnacentral:rRNA from 1 species